rfam:Trichobilharzia regenti genome assembly, scaffold: TRE_scaffold0015314
GUACUGCUGAAGAGUCCCAAACUAGGACGAAACAGCCGUCCAGUAC